rnacentral:rRNA from 1 species
GUCCUCUUGAUUAUUAAUUUGAGGUUUAACCUGCCCACUGAAAUUAUUUAAAUGGCCGCAGUAAUUUGACUGUGCAAAGGUAGCAUAAUCAUUAGUUUUUUAAUUAAAAGCUUGUAUGAAGGGUUGGACGAGAUAAAAUCUGUCUCUAUUUAAUUUAUAUUAGAAUUUAAUUUUUAAGUUAAAAAGCUUAAAUAUUAUUAAAAGACGAGAAGACCCUAUAGAUCUUUAUAUUAUAUAAAUUAAUUUUAGUUAAGAAUUUUUUAUUUUUUAAUUUUAAUAAUAUUUUAUUGGGGUAAUAAAAAGAUUUAAUAAAUUCUUUUAAAAUUAUACAUUGAUUUAUGAUUUAAUGAUCCAAUUUUUUUGAUUAUAAGAUUAAGUUACCUUAGGGAUAACAGCGUAAUUUUUUUGGAGAGUUCAUAUCGAUAAAAAAGUUUGCGA